ensembl:snRNA U6 U6 spliceosomal RNA
UCAAUACAGAGAAGAUUAGCAUGGCCCCUGCACAAGGAUGACACGCAAAUUCGUGAAGCAUUCCAUAUUUUU